UGAAAGAGGGUCUCCGGUGAGGCUU
rnacentral:miRNA from 1 species